GCUGGUUUUCUACGAAACAUAUUUAAGUAUGACAUCUAUACAAAAUUUAUGGUGGUACAGCACUGAAUUCCCAACAAAGAUUAUGACAGUGAAUAAACAAAAUAUUUUUAUAUAAGUUUAUUAACUUCUAAUACUAAAGUUUAGGUUGAGGGGACCUCGAAAAUCUUACCAAUGGAAGAGAAACUCGAAAUGACAUAAAUUGAUGAUAGAUAUUCAGACUGCUCAUGAGAAAGUUGAGUAGUCAAGACGGAAACAGCCGAGAACACGAAUACAAGGUCCCAAAUGAUUAUUAAGUGAAAUUAAGGAAAUGACAUAUUGAAUGCAGCUGUAAAGUGAGCUUAGCACAAAAUACUUCUGAGCUUAAAAACUAAGUUAUAUGCAAGAAAACCCUAAAGAUGUUUUGCUGUAUCCCUUUAAAGGUAUAAACAGAAAAAGUAAACAUAUCUGUCAAAAUCUUUUGAUAAAAUGGGUAACUUGCAAGAAAAUUAAUAUUUAUUAAUUUCUUCACGACUAUACGCUUAGAACUCUUAUUCCUAUUUGAAGAGAUAAGAGUUAUGACAUAGUCUACCAAGUAUGAAAGUACUUGAUUUUUAUAAGUUUGUAGAGAAAGUAAUUACAUUCUUGUAAAUUAUUUUUGUUUUUUAUACUUUCGUAAUAUUAAUUAGUAACUAGAAGGUCGUUGGUUCUACCUUUCACCUAAAAGGCUAGCCCCUGGGUUAAAAUAGUAAACAUUAUUUAUUACUACAAAAAAAAAGUUUAUUUUUAAUAUUUUAAUAGCUACAAAAACAAUAAAUUUAAUGAACCAAAAUUUUAAUUUGUCUCCAGGUUAUAUUAGUGGAUUAGCUCAAACAGACGGGUCUUUCUUUUGCUCAGUAACCAUCUCUACAAAACGUAGAUUUGGACUUCAAUUUAGACCUAAAUUUACUCUAACUGCUGAUUUAGAUUCAAAGUACGUAUUAGACAAUAUAGCACAAUAAAUAUUUUGGGUGCGAAAAGGUCUCUACAAAUCUUAAAACCUAUAGUGCUGAAUACUUAGUAAAAGGAUUGAAGAGCUUCAAAUAUAAUAAUACCUCAUUUGAAUUUAAAAAGGGGUUCUGUGCAAAAUUACACGCUUUUAAGCUUUUAAAAAAAAUAGUCUCUGUUUUAAGUACUAAGGAAAAAAGAACAAUAGAAGGAAAAAUUGAACUAUUAAAAAUGGCACAAUCUAUGAAUAUUACUACUAAUAGGUCUAAAGAUCGAAUAGAUUUAUUAUUCUCUUUAUUAGGAUCCGAAAAUAUAGAAUUUAUAGAGAAUACUAUAACUAAUAUUACUUCACUUAUUACAAAUAAUAAUAUUGCUGGUAUUAUAGAUGGGGAUGGUUCAUUUUUUAUCUCCUUUAAUGGUGUAAUCAAAACAGGAUUAAGUAUAACUGGGGAUAAAGAUUCAAGACCUUUAUUAGAAGGUAUACAAGAAAGAUUUGAAGGAAUAGGUAGUAUUAAAAUAGGGUCCAAAAAAGAAUUAGUAUAUACAAUUACAGGUUUAAAUCAAAUAAUAAAUAUAUUAAUACCAUUUAUGGAUAAUAAUCCUUUAUUUUCUGAACGGCCAUCACACUAUGAAAAAUUUAAAAUAGUUAAUUUUAUCUUAAAAAAUGAACAACCUUUAACAAUGGAUAGUAAAUUAAAAAUAGUUGAAUUGACUUAUGAUAUGAAUAAAAAAGGAAAACGUCGAAGUUUGAGUAAAACAGAGUAUAUUAACCUAUUGAGAAAAGACAAAUAGUUUUACCUAAUCUAUGGUAUUAUCCCCCUUUAUUUUUUAUGGAGAUAAGGUUAGGUAGCUUUAUAAAUAUUAAUUACCAGACAAAAAGAUAGAAAAUGGGAAGUAGCUAUCUUUUAAUGACCGUAAUGAACAACGUAGCAGCCCUUAGAAUGUUGUGCCUAAAAUUUAACGGGUCUAAAUAAUCAACCGAUAUCGUGUUUAUUUUGAAUACAUAAAAAAUAUUUUUAUUCAGAAUAUAGGUAGUAGAACAUUCAGUAAAACUUAAAAUAAAACAGUGUUUCAUUGUUUUUAGGUAACUGAAGAGAUAAUGCUGACAUGAGUAACGUAAAAAGAAGUUAUAAUACUUCUCGCCGAAUACGAAAGGGAUAUAAGGAAAGGUUAUACCGCCUUAUGUUAUUGCGGCCUCUAAGGACCAAAACCAAAGUUUUGGCUGAUGAGUAGAUAACUGAAAGUCCAUAUGUAAAUUAAUGGACCAGGAAAAUUAAGUUUUUAUAAUUUAAUUUAUUUUUAUAAUUUUUUAUAAAUAAAAUUAAUUUAGUCUACCGUACCCUAAACCGACACAGGUUCGUAGGUAGAGAAUACUAAGGCGUAGAGCUAAAAGUUGUUAAGGAACUCGGCAAAUUAUCCUC
rnacentral:rRNA from 1 species